GGGGCGGAGCUUUCUCGUGUCUCGGAGUCCGCCCGGGUGCUGUCUGGCCGCAGGACUCGGCGGCAUGUCGGGGCCGAACGGGGAACCGCAUGUGCCUGCGGGAAACGUCGGGCGGAGCGAAGAAGGGGACGACGACGGGUUCGGGGAGACAGAAUAUGCAGCAAUAAACUCCAUGCUGGACCAAAUCAACUCCUGUUUGGAUCACCUGGAGGAGAAGAAUGACCAUCUCCAUGCCCGCUUGAAGGAGCUGCUGGAAUCCAACCGUCAGACACGCCUGGAGUUCCAGCAGCAGCUGAGUGAAGAGCAGAACAUGCAGGCUGAUGUGCAGGGCCCACACAUGGACAUCUAGUUCCUUCUGUUUGCUGGACACACACUGUCAAAUAGCUUUUACUUCCAAUGGGACCGCCACGAUCUGUGGUUUAAUGUAAAACUUGACUAGAAAAGGUGGCUGCAGCUGCUCAUCCGAUGACUGGAAGCCCGAGCCACGGGAGCACAAAGAGGCCUCCAAGUGUGCUGCUGUAGCACGGUGCCUUGCUGCCUUGUAUCUCUGUGCAAAGGAAAAAUGUGUGAGCAAGAACUGGCCUGAGACAUUACAGGACAGUUUCAGCUGGUCCAGGAGAAACCUGCACAAAGACAGUAGCGAGUGACAGACUGCAGUGGCUGGCUUAAUCUCCAAACAAAGCACAAGUCUAUGGCUCUCUUGGGCGGGCUGCUGAAGGAAGGAGUUCAUGCAGGUACAGGUCUGCUCCUGGCAAAAAGUGAUGGUAUUAAGGUUUUAUUCCCUCUUGCAUUUGCUAAUGUGGAGGGAUUAGGCAGAACGAAGCUGGGGAUACAGAGCUAGAACCAGACUCUAAUAUUUGUUAAUCUUGAUCAGAGACGAUAGCUCAAUAGCCCGGUUGAGUGUAAGUGAAAUCAAGAAAACUCAUCUCAAUUACUGACUGAAUCUAGCUUUGGGGGUGGGCAGGAGACAGGUAGUCUCACCCUCCAGCUGCACAAGACUAUUGGUUGUUUUCACUCCUUACAGGCAUCUUAAAGGGGAAUAACUAGAUUAACACAAUUUUGCUGUAGCUAAACACAAUGAAAAGACAACGUUUCCUUUUGCACUUUGCUCAUCUAAGCAAUGCAAUUAGACUGUCUGCUCAUUCACUUUCUGCUGCUUUUGCAAGAGCUCCAAGGUUGGAGGUGGUGGUCUUCAGUAAAAUUAUGUUUAAGGGGAUGUUUCUAGGAGAGGAUUUUAAGCAGCAAGUGUCUCCACUUGCAAGAGUGCUCCGACAUUCAUGAGAUAGGGCCUAUAUUCACUAUGUCAGCAUUGUCAGCAAGAUGGGUUCCUAAACUGAGACCUCCAGGGAGAGAUCAGCAAGGAGGUUAAAACUGAUGCAGCUUCAGGAAAAUAGUACACAAGAGCCACGUGGGGCCAACCUACAGAAGUAGAACUAUGUAUAACCAUGGGAUCUUAAGCCACAGAGGGAUUUCCUCCAGCGUGUUAAUCAGUCUGGAGGCCUUUAGUUAGAGAGGUGGUGAUGGAGACUUCUAGAAAGACUGUGGCACUAAGUAAACAGCAUGGGGCUCCUUCUCUUCCACAGAAAUAUGAAAGAGAUUGGUGAGGCUAAACAUAAGCCCUGGAAUAAGGGGCUUGUACUGAACGCAACAGUUUAACUGGACCAUUCUAUUCAGGUUCUUGUACUGUGUCAGCACGCUGAGCUGCGCUAUGGUAUUUGGCCGCUGAAGGGGCUGCAUUAUUAACCAUUUGGUACUGAGGACAAAAGAUCUAAUCAAAUGAAUCCUGGUACCCUAGGACAGGAGGGGUCUACUGGAAGAGGAUGGGGAACUCACUAUCAGGACAACUGGGAUCUCUGGAAACGGGCUGGUUUGACCAAAGAGCUUCUAUGUCAGCAACCUGGUACUAAAUUAUUAUUUUUCAUUCUAA